CCCUGCCAGGAAAGGAGGCUGGCUUCUACCUCUGGCUGUCACUCAUCUUAACAUCCCCUUCCCCACCCCCUGGGACUCUGUCCUGCCCUCUCUCCACCCUGACCUAUGCGUUUCCCUGACAUUUACUGAGUUCUUGCUUUGUGCCUUGCACUCAGUAUUUCAGCUGUGCUAUUUGGUUCAAUUCUCUCGACGACCUUGCAAGACAAGUUCUGGACUUUUCUGACUCUGUCUUACCUGCUUCUUUGCACCACUGAAGUCAAGUGUGUAACUGAUGAUGUCACAGCUCAGCGGACAGUAGAUGCCCCUGCUUUGUAUUAAAGGCAGAGUCUCAGGUAACCUAUCCUGGACUCCAAUUCCCUCUGUAGCCAAGGGUGACCUCCUGUACCUAUCUCCUGAGUGCUUAGAUUACACGCGUGUGCCACCUGUUUCAUGCGGCGCUGAUAUAAAACUUCGGGCUCUGUACAUGAUAGGUCUGGGAUCCUGGGACAGGUUCCAAGUCAAGAAGAGGAUUCUUGUGUCACUGUUACUAUGACAAUGGCCCUCCCCAGGAGGUGAUG